rnacentral:rRNA from 1 species
UACGGAGGGUGCAAGCGUUGCUCGGAAUCAUUGGGCGUAAAGCGCACGUAGGCGGCUCGUUAAGUCGGAUGUGAAAGCCCCGGGCUCAACUCGGGAAGUGCAUUCGAAACUGGCGAGCUUGAAUAUGGAAGAGGGUCGCGGAAUUCCCGGUGUAGAGGUGAAAUUCGUAGAUAUCGGGAGGAACACCAGUGGCGAAGGCGGCGACCUGGGCCAAUAUUGACGCUGAGGUGCGAAAGCGUGGGGAGCAAACAGG